rnacentral:rRNA from 1 species
AUGACGAGUUGCCCCAAUUCCCAUGUGUCGGUGUACAAAAAGAGGGGCACGCUUUUGUACCCCGUUACCUGUGCACGGGCAGUCGGAGCCGCGCCCACGGCCACACCAAGCAGAACUGGGGAGGUGAGCCAAGGUAAGACCAAAGCCCAAGACAAUCAAAGCAACGCCAAGGCCAAGACCACAAAGAGCAGAGGGACCAAGCAGGUUCCCCUGGCAAUACCCUUGCCGAGCAGCCUCGGCAGCCCCGGCAAGGUCCUUGCCGGGGCAGCUCGCCCCACACCAACAGAGCAAGCCACCCUUGAGCCCAUGGUCCCCAACGCCAUCAUCGACGUGGGGCCAGGGCUUGGGAAGGCACCUCUGUGGUGGCAUGCAGAUCUUUGUGAAGACAUGUUCAAGAUCAGACGAGGAUUAGAAGAUGACGAUCCUACGCAAGAUCCUUGA